GAUCGGUCGGUCCGCCGGGCAGAUAGUCCGGCUCGGAGCCGGGUCCGCGCGGUUCGUCGAUGUUCGGAUCAUCGACCGGGUA
rnacentral:tRNA from 1 species